rnacentral:misc_RNA from 1 species
AGCAGCCGCGGUAAUUCCAGCUCCAAUAGCGUAUAUUAAAGUUGUUGCAGUUAAAAGCUCGUAGUUGAAUUUCGGGAUUAACGUAAUGGUCGUGCCUUAAGGGGUAUGAACUGUUACUGUUGAUUUCUCACCUUCUGGAGAAUCUUGAUGUCCUUAAUUGGGUGUCUUGUGGAUCCAGGACCUUUACCUUGAAAAAAUUAGAGUGUUUAAAGCAGGCAUUUUGCUCGAAUACAUUAGCAUGGAAUAAUAGAAUAGGACGGCAUGGUUCUAUUUUGUUGGUUUCUAGGAUCACCGUAAUGAUUAAUAGGGAUAGUUGGGGGCAUUAGUAUUCAGUUGUCAGAGGUGAAAUUCUUGGAUUUAUUGAAGACUAACUACUGCGAAAGCAUUUGCCAAGGAUGUUUU